UACGUAGGGGGCAAGCGUUGUCCGGAUUUAUUGGGCGUAAAGAGCGUGUAGGCGGCUUGGUAGGUCCGCUGUGAAAACUCGAGGCUCAACCUCGAGACGCCGGUGGAAACCAUCAGGCUAGAGUCCGGAAGAGGAGAGUGGAAUUCCUGGUGUAGCGGUGAAAUGCGCAGAUAUCAGGAAGAACACCCGUGGCUAAGGCGGCUCUCUAGUACGGUACUGACGCUGAGACGCGAAAGCGUGGGGAUCAAACAGG
rnacentral:rRNA from 1 species